GAGUUUUGAUCCUGGCUCAGGACGAACGCUGGCGGCGCGCCUAACACAUGCAAGUCGAACGAGAGAGAAGGAGCUUGCUUCUUCGAUCGAGUGGCGAACGGGUGAGUAACGCGUGAGGAACCUGCCUCAAAGAGGGGGACAACAGUUGGAAACGACUGCUAAUACCGCAUAAGCCCACGGGUCGGCAUCGAUCUGAGGGAAAAGGAGCAAUCCGUCUUUGAGAUGGCCUCGCGUCCGAUUAGCUAGUUGGUGAGGUAACGGCCCACCAAGGCGACGAUCGGUAGCCGGACUGAGAGGUUGAACGGCCACCAUUGGGACUGAGACACGGCCCAGACUCCUACGGGAAGCAGCA
rnacentral:rRNA from 1 species